rnacentral:rRNA from 1 species
UAGAGUUUGAUCCUGGCUCAGAAUGACCGCUAGUUAUGUGCUUUAUACAUGCAAGUUGAACGCUAAAAAGUCUUAGGGUUUUUUAGAGUAGCGAACGGGUGAGUAACGCGUGAGAAUCUGCCUUUUAAUCUAUGUGAAUAAAAUCAUAGAUAAUACUUUUCAAUUUCAUUGAAAACUAAUAAAGAUCUAAAAUAGGUCGUUAAAAGAUGAGCUUGCGUAAGAUUAGGUAGUUGGUGAGGUAAAGGCUCACCAAGCCAAAGAUCUUUAGUCGGUCUGAGAGGAUGAUCGGCCACAUUGGGACUGAGACACGGCCCAAACAUUAUUUUAUGGCAGCAGUAGGGAAUUUUGGACAAUGGGCGAAAGCCUGAUCCAGCAACAUAACGUGAAAGAAGAAGACUGUAUUGGUUGUAAAUUUCUAUAGUGAGUGUAAAGAUUAUGACUUUCUCUCACGAAAAGUCCUGGCUAAUCUCGUGCCAGCAGCCGCGGUAAUA